GUCCAGACUCCUACGGGAGGCAGCAGUGGGGAAUAUUGCACAAUGGGGGAAACCCUGAUGCAGCGACGCCGCGUGAGUGAAGAAGUAUUUCGGUAUGUAAAGCUCUAUCAGCAGGGAAGAAAAUGACGGUACCUGACUAAGAAGCCCCGGCUAACUACGUGCCAGCAGCCGCGGUAAUACGUAGGGGGCAAGCGUUAUCCGGAUUUACUGGGUGUAAAGGGAGCGUAGACGGCAUGGCAAGUCAGAUGUGAAAGCCCGGGGCUCAACCCCGGGACUGCAUUUGAAACUGUCAGGCUGGAGUGCAGGAGAGGUAAGUGGAACUCCUAGUGUAGCGGUGAAAUGCGUAGAUAUUAGGAGGAACACCAGUGGCGAAGGCGGCUUACUGGACUGUAACUGACGUUGAGGCUCGAAAGCGUGGGGAGCAAACAGGAUUAGAUACCCGCGUAUC
rnacentral:rRNA from 1 species